UGAGGUGUUCUCCAGCGGCAACGAGAGCAGACUGUAAAUCUGCCGCCAUUCGGCUUCGUGGGUUCGAGUCCCGCCACCUCAACGA
rnacentral:tRNA from 1 species